AUCUAAGCCGAUGAACUGUUGCCUCUGUAAUCCGGACCCUUAGUCUUGAUAUCAGGACUGAGAAACAAAGAGGUGGAGGGCUAAGGAUGUUCAAUGAGGCAUAGGAAGCAGCAGCUACUAACUGGGUUUUGG